rnacentral:rRNA from 1 species
CAAGAGCGUAUAUUAAAGUUGCUGCGGUUAAAAAGCUCGUAGUUGGAUUUCAGUCUAGGAAGGUUAACUCGCCGAAAGGUUGUACGUUGAUUUUCCUCAGACUUCGUCAGAAGCUCGUGCUGCACUUAACUGUUUGGUACGAUGUUCUGACCUUUUACCUUGAGGAAAGUAGAGUGUUUCAGGCAGGCUACCCAGCUUGAAUACAUUAGCAUGGAAUAAUGAAAUGGAUCUCGGUUCGAUUUCGUUGGUUCUAGAGCUGAGGUGAUGAUCAAUAGGAACAGGCGAAGGUAUUCGUACUUGAGAGUGAGGAGUGAAAUCCGAUGAUCUCUUAAAGACGAUCCGAGGCGAAAGCAUUUGUCAAGGAUGUUUUCAUUGA